UCUGCUCCUCCCUCUACAGUGAACCCGAGCUGUACACUCUCUGAACCGGCCCCACCUGAAGAAUCGGAUCCUAGCUGCUCUGUUUUGCCUUGCACCUGGGUGCGUCACGCCCGCCACUCAGCUGCUGCCUGUCCGCCCUCAAUCGCCUGCUGGAACUUCCCCCAUCUGGAAAACCCUGCCGGAUCCCCAUGUUCCCUCCUCUGCUUACCUGAACCCGCAGCCCUUCCUCCGCUGGCCCAGUUCCUCCCUGCUGCCGCUGAUCGACGCCCCUCCACACACUCUCCAGCACAUUCAGUUACCAAAUAAAUCUGUUAAAACUGUUUGGGUGUCCGUAGUUGUUGCUUGCCUUAAGAGUCCUAGAAACCUCGCAUUAUGACAG